AUGAGAAACGAAGGAAGAUGAGAAGCAAAGGGAACCUUUCCCAGAGCAACUAGCCCCUCGCAAAGAGAGAGAGGAAGAGAGAAAGAAAGAGAAAGAAAAUAUAUAUAUAUAUAUAUAUAGAGAGAGAGAGAGAGAGACAGAGAGAAAGAGAGCGAGUGAAGGAACGAAGAAGAAGAAAAAGAGAAGUAGUUUAAUCGCACUUCUGUAAAAGGAAGAAAUAUUAAAAGCAAGAGACAAUAGAAUAAAGAGAGAAGGAAAAUAAAGAGAGAUAGUGUCGAUAGGUGGGAGGGUGUGCGCGCAUAAAAAAAAAAAAAAGCCCAAGGAAAAGAGAUUGGCAGCCAUAUUUUCCUGACGUCGUCGUUUCAUUCUAUGGCCCAUGGUGCCGUUUUUACUUGGAAUCUUUAAAGCUGCUGCUCGUCAGCGACCUCGACGAGCCAACGGAUUCGCGCCGCCGCCGUAUAGAAAUUUAAAGAGAACGGCCGAGGAUAGGAGUUAGUGUAAGAGCUCUGAGAGAUAAAGACGGACGGGCAAAGAGAGAGAAAAAGUAGUAGGAGAAGAGAAGGAUAGAAGGAGAGAUAACGAUAAGUUAUCGGACGCUAAUGAUACGGCGUGGCGGCCGUAGAGAGUGUCGAGUGUGCGUGUAAACGGUGCUAGAAGAGCGCGAGAAUCAAUGGACGUACUUUCGUCUUGUUUUUUGGAAAAGAACAAGAAAAAAGAAAGAAAUUAAAAGAAAAGACGAAGAUCAAAGUUGAAGAAUAAAAUCAUUACUAUUACGUGUUACGUUAUCUAUGAUAUUCUAACGGCUCACGAGGAGAAAGAAACGGCAAGACAGUCGCGACAUUCUUGUGAGAACAACGACGACGACGACGACGACGACGACGACGACGACGGAGAAGAGGCCUUCGAUCUUACGAAGAAUUACAUUUGAUUCUUCGUGAUUCAUAAUUCCUCGUCAUUAUCAUCGUCAUCGUCAUCAUCAUCAUCGUCAUUUUCAUUUUCUUCAUCUUCCUUCUCUUCUUCUACGUCGAUAGGCUUACCCGUGAAAACGGAAAUCUUUGGUAUAUCUCUCACAUCGCACACAGUCACGCGAUACCGCGUAUAUCAGCUCCACGAGAUGGAGAGACGAGCUGCUUUUGUGCUCCUUGGAAUGCUAUAUUUAGCGGGCACCCUCGAGUCGGUCCAGGCAGUGAUCUAUUCGGGACCGACGAUCGUACACAAGGGUCAACCUUGGAGUAUCGAAUGCAGCGGCCUCCAGCCGGACGAUAACAUUAGGUGGACCAGAAACGGUCAGACUCUCGAGCCGGAGUUGGCGAGCGGUCAAUUGAUCGUCCGUCCGAAGGCCAAGACCGGAGGAAGCGAGCUAGCAGCGAUUCAGGCCACGGAGUUCCACGAAGGCGACUACAAGUGCACGCCCGACAGCUCCGAUGCUUUUCAUCUAUCUCUAUAUUUCGACGUGAAGAUUCGAGUACUUACACAAAAGGAGACACCCCUUUCGUUGGAGUGCGGUAAUCGAAGCACCGGAGAUAAAGCAAUAUGGUAUAAGGAAAAAAUGCCGAUAUUGACGACAAUGGUUGGUAAAGAGGACCUCAUCAAGAUAGACAACGAGACUGGUACCCUGGAUGUAUUAAAGAUUGACGAUAUUAUCGUUUAUGGAAAUUAUUCUUGCAAAGUAGGAAAUACCUCGACUGACUACAGGAUCGUACCUAAACCUACUGUUGUCUUACCCGAAUCGACUAGCGUCGUCGAAGGUGAAAAAUUGCUUUUAGUAUGUAACGGUAAACACAGUCCAGGUGUCAAGAUCAUAUGGACGUUUGGAAAUCAAAAUUAUACCGCCAGCAAGGGUAGAGUAAAGAUUUCGCAAGACCAAGAGAGAGGAAUUUACGGUGCCGUAUUGACGGUAGAAAACAUCGAGAUGAACGAUCGCGGUAUUAUCCACUGCAGGGUGUCUUAUAAUUGGUCCGAUCCGGUGGAGGGUCAUUCGGCGCAAGCUGUCACUUUACUUAGGGUCAAGGACAAGCUCGCUGCACUUUGGCCUUUCCUUGGUAUCUGCGGUGAGGUCGUCGUACUUUGCGCCAUUAUUCUUGUUUAUGAAAAGAAACGAAAUAAGGCCGAACUUGACGAGUCCGAUACCGAGCAGAGUCCCGACACAGAACCAACUCGACAUCCGCCCUUUAAAUCAGCACCAUCGUGAUUAACAAGUAACCCUAAUUAUUCAUCAACCAUAUGACGAAUAUUUUAUUGGAACGACCAACCGAAAUCAACGAUCAUUUAUACGAAUAUAUCUUAUGUAUUCUUGUCUUCCUCUCGCCAUCUUUGCUCACCAAGAGGGUCGUGUGAAGGGAGCAGGGAAGAGGGAGAGGAAAAGAAUACUUUACUGUAAACCAACGCCUAACAAGGAUUCCGAUGUCAGGCAGAGAAAGUGAAGAGUCAGAAUUUAAGCGGCGGAAGAACGAGCGCGAUGCAUAUACAUAUAUACCAAGAGAAAAACAAAUUGAGAUAAGGAAAACGAAACGUGGUAUUUAAUGGAGUGACAACUUAAAACCAGCCCGGAAUACUUAGCGAAUAUGGAUCUUCAUCGAGGAAGAAAAAUAAAGAUAAAGAUUGAUAGAUAAAGAUAGAAAGAGAGAGAUAGAUAGAUAGAUAGAUAAAGAGAGAGAAAGA